GGGCGGAUAGCUCAGCGGAAGAGCACCUGCCUUACACGCAGGGGGUCAUAGGUUCGAACCCUAUUCCGCCCACCA
rnacentral:tRNA from 7 species